rnacentral:rRNA from 1 species
GGCGGACCGGCGUGGCCCGCUCUCUUAUGGGAGUGUGUGCUAUGUCGCGUCUGUCAUCCUUGCAGAUAGCGGCGUCUACCAUUCAUUUGGCCUGACGUUUGUGAUCUGCAUCGAUUACUUUGAAAAAAUUAGAGUGUUUAAAGCAGGCUUAUGCCUUGAAUACAUUAGCAUGGAAUAAUAAUUUAGGACUUCGGUUCUAUUUUGUUGGUUUCUAGAACUGAAGUA